GGGAUCAUCUUUUGUUAUAGUUCACAAAUUUUAAGAUUUAUUCUUUCAUGUUGUUUGAGGCACAUAAACCAUAAGAUUUUCUUGUGUAGUUUGUUUGUCUCUUUAUUUAAUAUUUGUUAGGACAAUCCCCAUACUCUGAAUACAUCGACACCCAAAAAAUAGAAAAAUUGAAGAAAGUUAAAACAGUGGUGAAGACUGAAA
rnacentral:misc_RNA from 1 species